rnacentral:rRNA from 1 species
CGUCUAUAUACGUAUAGCAUAUCAAUAAGCGGAGGAAAAGAAACUAACAAGGAUUCCCUUAGUAACGGCGAGUGAAGCGGGAAGAGCUCAAAUUUGAAAUCUUCAAGGUUCUACCUUGACGAAUUGUAGUUUAUAGAAGUGUUUUCUGUUAGUGGAGUGGCAAAAGUUCUUUGGAAUAGGACAUCAUAGAGGGUGAGAAUCCCGUAUUUGGUCAUUCCUCCUAGCGUUGUGAUACACUUUCAACGAGUCGGAUUGUUUGGGAUGCAGUCCAAAAUGGGUGGUAAAUUUCAUCUAAAGCUAAAUAUUGGCGAGAGACCGAUAGCGAACAAGUACCGUGAGGGAAAGAUGAAAAGAACUUUGAAAAGAGAGUUAAACAGUACGUGAAAUUGUCAAAAGGGAAGCGUUUGACACCAGUGUUGUUUUUCCGAAAAUCAAUUACGAAUGUUUUAUUUUUGAGGAGUUAUGACUUCAUCGGCUUGCUCCUUUCUUUAUGAAACUUUCUUAAUGCACUUUUCGGUUAACAAGUCAACAUCAAUUUCUUUUGUUGUAAAAGGGUACGAGGAAGGUGGCUUUCUUUUCGGAGAAAGUGUUUAUAGCCUUGUACCUCUGCAAUCGGAGAGAUUGAGGUCUGCAGCGUAGAUCCUUCGGGGUUAGAUACAUUUGUGCUAAGUUAUAGCUUUUCAUAGACAACUUGUUGACUAUGUUAAGUCUUGUAGCUUACUCGCUUAUGCUAUUUUACCUACGCUUAGGAUGUUGAUAUGCAUGACUGAUAU